GCCCAGGUGGUGGAAUGGUAUACACGAAGGACUUAAAAUCCUUUGAGCUUCGGUUCAUGCGGGUUCGACUCCCGCCCUGGGCACCA
rnacentral:tRNA from 1 species